rnacentral:rRNA from 1 species
UACGUAGGUGGCAAGCGUUAUCCGGAAUUACUGGGUGUAAAGGGAGCGUAGACGGUGAUGCAAGUCUGGAGUGAAAGGCGGGGGCCCAACCCCCGGACUGCUCUGGAAACUGUAUGACUGGAGUGCAGGAGAGGUAAGCGGAAUUCCUAGUGUAGCGGUGAAAUGCGUAGAUAUUAGGAGGAACACCAGUGGCGAAGGCGGCUUACUGGACUGUAACUGACGUUGAGGCUCGAAAGCGUGGGGAGCAAACAGG